rnacentral:rRNA from 1 species
GAUGAACGAGGGUGGCGUGCUUAACACAUGCAAGUCGAACGGGAAACCUUUUAUUGAAGCUUCGGCAGAUUUAGCUGGUUUCUAGUGGCGGACGGGUGAGUAACGCGUGGGUAACCUGCCUUAUACAGGGGGAUAACAACCAGAAAUGGUUGCUAAUACCGCAUAAGCGCACAGGACCGCAUGGUCCGGUGUGAAAAACUCCGGUGGUAUAAGAUGGACCCGCGUUGGAUUAGCUAGUUGGCAGGGUAACGGCCUACCAAGGCGACGAUCCAUAGCCGGCCUGAGAGGGUGAACGGCCACAUUGGGACUGAGACACGGCCCAGACUCCUACGGGAGGCAGCAGUGGGGAAUAUUGCACAAUGGGGGAAACCCUGAUGCAGCGACGCCGCGUGAAGGAAGAAGUAUCUCGGUAUGUAAACUUCUAUCAGCAGGGAAGAUAGUGACGGUACCUGACUAAGAAGCCCCGGCUAACUACGUG